rnacentral:rRNA from 1 species
AACGAACGCUGGCGGCAGGCUUAACACAUGCAAGUCGAACGCAUCCUUCGGGGUGAGUGGCAGACGGGUGAGUAACGCGUGGGAACAUGCCCUUCAGUUCGGAAUAACCCAGGGAAACUUGGGCUAAUACCGGAUACGUGCUAGAGCAGAAAGAUUUAUCGCUGAAGGAGUGGCCCGCGUUUGAUUAGCUAGUUGGUGAGGUAAAGGCUCACCAAGGCGACGAUCAGUAGCUGGUCUGAGAGGAUGAUCAGCCACACUGGGACUGAGACACGGCCCAGACUCCUACGGGAGGCAGCAGUGGGGAAUAUUGGACAAUGGGCGCAAGCCUGAUCCAGCCAUGCCGCGUGAGUGAUGAAGGCCUUAGGGUUGUAAAGCUCUUUCGGCGGGGACGAUAAUGACGGUACCCGCAGAAGAAGCCCCGGCUAACUUCGUGCCAGCCGCCGCCGUAA